GAUGAACGCUGGCGGCGUGCCUAAUACAUGCAAGUCGAGCGAACGGACGAGAAGCUUUCUUCUCUGAUGUUAGCGGCGGACGGGUGAGUAACACGUGGAUAACCUACCUAUAUGACUUGGAUAACUUCGGGAAACCGGAGCUAAUAACGGAUAAUAUUUUGUACCGCAUGGUUCAAAAGUGAAACAGGGUUUUGCUGUCACUUAUAGCUGGAUCCGCGCUGCAUUAGCUAGUUGGUAAGGUAACGGCUUACCAAGGCAACGAUGCAUAGCCGACCUGAGAGGGUGAUCGGCCACACUGGAACUGAGACACGGUCCAGACUCCUACGGGAGGCAGCAGUAGGGAAUCUUCCGCAAUGGGCGAAAGCCUGACGCAGCAACGCCGCGUGAGUGAUGAAGGUCUUCGGAUCGUAAAACUCUGUUAUUAGGGAAGAACAUAUGUGUGAGUAAAUGUGCACAUCUUGACGGUACCUAAACAGAAAGCCACGGCUAACUACGUG
rnacentral:rRNA from 1 species